rnacentral:rRNA from 1 species
AUUGAGCGCUGGCGGCAUGCCUUACACAUGCAAGUCGAACGGUAACGCGGGGCAACCUGGCGACGAGUGGCGAACGGGCGAGUAAUGUAUCGGAACGUGCCCAGUUGUGGGGGAUAACUGCUCGAAAGAGCAGCUAAUACCGCAUACGACCUGAGGGUGAAAGCGGGGGAUCGCAAGACCUCGCGCAGUUGGAGCGGCCGAUAUCAGAUUAGGUAGUUGGUGGGGUAAAGGCUCACCAAGCCAACGAUCUGUAGCUGGUCUGAGAGGACGACCAGCCACACUGGGACUGAGACACGGCCCAGACUCCUACGGGAGGCAGCAGUGGGGAAUUUUGGACAAUGGGGGCAACCCUGAUCCAGCCAUGCCGCGUGCGGGAAGAAGGCCUUCAGGUUGUAAACCGCUUUUGUCAGGGAAGAAAGGACUCCUGUUAAUACCGGGGGUUCAUGACGGUACCUGAAGAAUAAGCACCGGCUAACUACGUGCCAGCAGCCGCCGCCG